UAGGGAGACCAUCUGAUCAUCGACCGAACCUAAACAAUAGGUCGUUGUCAGUCAUCCCUGGUCGUUCGAGGAAUAGAUGUCAAAGCUUUCAAACUAUUAACUGGUUCGGAAUAUGGGCUAUUAGCUCAGUUGGUUAGAGCGCACCCCUGAUAAGGGUGAGGUCCCUGGUUCAAAUCCAGGAUGGCCCACCUGGAAAAAAAGUGAUGAAUUGUAAGUAAUGAGUAAGGGAUAAUCAAUGAUUAAUUCAGGACUCAUAAAAUCAAAAUCAGAACUUGCUUAGUGGGGGUAUAGCUCAGUUGGUAGAGCGCCUGCCUUGCACGCAGGAAGUCAGCGGUUCGAGUCCGCUUACCUCCACUCUCACUAACUAUAACCAACAAAAAAAACAAAAAGAGAGAGAAAUCAGCACCCAGACUAACUUGGUCUUUUUAGCUCAAAGAAGUCGGAAUGCUGGAGUCGAGAACUCUAGUCAGAACCUUGAAAACUGCAUAGAAAUUAAGUCAUCAAAGCGUGUCUAUCAUCCGAUUGCUCGGAAGAAAUGACAAGCGACAACCAUCAAAAAAUCAAGU
rnacentral:tRNA from 1 species